AUGCCCAAGUUCAAUGGAAGCAAUGAUCCGAAAGAGUACCUCUCAUGGGCAUUGAAGGUCGACAAAAUCUUCCGUUUGCACAACUAUGAGGAAGAGAAGAAGAUCGCUAUGGCAUCACUAGAGUUCCAAGACUAUGUGCUCAUAUGGUGGGAACAAGUCCUUGAGCGCCGACAAGCAAGAGGUGAACCUCCAAUCACCACUUGGGCUCAAAUGAAGGAUGUCAUGCGAGCAAGUUUUGUGCCAACCUACUACAACCGUGAUAUCUUCAAGAAGCUACAACUCCUCAAGCAAGGAACAAAGAGUGUUGAAGAAUACUACAAGGAAAUAGAGAUAGCCAUGAUUCGAGCCAAUGUCACAGAAGAUGAUGAGCAAACAAUCGCACGAUUCUUGAAUGGACUCAAUCAUCCCAUCAAGAAGAUCACCGACUUCCAACCCUACUCCAACCUCAUUGAACUCGUGCAUCAAGCGACCAAGGCGGAACGUCAAGUGCAAGAUGACUUCAAGUACGCCAAGUACUCAUCCAAGACCUACGGCUUCUCCAACAAUCAAGCUUCAACAACUCCUACAACAUCUACAUCAACCAAGCCUUCUCCAAGUAGCGAUGACAAGUCAAGUUACAAGAAAACUUCGGCAAGUUCAAGUCAUCUUCCUCCUACUACAAGCAACUUCAAGCCGCGUGCUUCUUCAUCUACUCCGACCGAUGAGACCGUCAAGACAAGCUCCUUAAAGUGUUUCACUUGCGGUGGCCGAGGCCACAAGUCUUAUAAAUGCACAAACAAGCGAACCAUGAUCCUCAACGAUGAUGGCACCUAUGACUCCAUGAGUGAUGAGGAGAUGGAAGCUCUUGAGCAAGUGGCCAUGCACCGGCGCGUGAAUGAGGAUGAAGAUGAGCAAGUCUUUUGUGAUGAGGAUUCGAGCCCCACUCUCAUCGUCUCCAAGGUCUUGACGCUUCAACAACAACAACAAGAAGACCAACGAUGCCACAUCUUCCACACAAAGGUCGGCAUAAAUGGAAGGUCCGUCAAGGUCAUCAUCGACGGAGGUAGUUGCCACAACUUGGCAAGUGAAGAACUAUGCUCCAAGCUUCAAUUGGUCAAGAGGAAGCACCCACACCCCUAUAAGGUUCAAUGGCUAAGUGACUCCGGCACUAUACGAGUUGAGCAUACGGUCCAAGUCUCCUUCAAAAUUGGUGCAUAUGAAGACACAUUGGAGUGUGAUGUGGUCCCCAUGACCGUUUGCCACCUCCUUCUUGGUAGGCCAUGGCAAUUCGAUCGUGGAGUCAUCCACAAUGGGAGCACCAAUCACUAUAGCUUCAAGAUGAAAGGGAAGGAAUAUGUACUACGACCUAUGUCUCCUAGUCAAGUGAUAGCCAACAAGCAAGCCACUAAUCGUGGAGAGAAGAGUGAGAAAGUGAUCCACCCAAAAGUGAGUGAGAGCCACAAGCCAAACUUGAGCGCCUCUUCGCCUAGAGAGAAAAAACUAGUCCUAUUUGCCACAAAAAGUGAGAUGAGAGAAGUGUGUGAGAACCCAUCGAGUGUUAUGCACUUUGUCCUUGUGUGCAAGGAUGGAGAACCAAAAACUAACACCUCUCACGAGCUACCUUUAGUGUUUCAAUCUCUUUUGCAGGAAUUCCAAGAUGUUUUCCCCGAUGAGCUACCUCCGGGUCUACCUCCUCUUCGAGGCAUUGAGCAUCAAAUCGACCUCAUCCCCGGAGCGCCACUUCCAAACAAAGCUCCGUAUCGCGUCAACCCCGAAGAAACAAAGGAGAUCCAACAGAAAGUACAACAACUAAUCGACAACGGUCAUGUACGUGAAAGCUUAAGCCCUUGUGCCGUUCCCGUUAUACUUGUGCCUAAG
rnacentral:rRNA from 1 species